AAUAUUGGACAAUGGGCGAAAGCCUGAUCCAGCCAUGCCGCGUGUGUGAAGAAGGUCUUCGGAUGGUAAAGCACUUUAAGUUGGGAGGAAGGGCAGUAAGUUAAUACCUUGCUGUUGUGACGUUACCGACAGAAUAAGCACCGGCUAACUUCGUGCCAGCAGCCGCGGUAAUACGAAGGGUGCAAGCGUUAAUCGGAAUUACUGGGAGUAAAGCGCGCGUAGGUGGUUCAGUAAGAUGGGUGUGAACGCCCCGGGCUCAACCAGGGAACUGCUUUCAAAGCUGGCAAGCUAGAGUAUGGCAGAGGGUGGUGGAAUUUACUGUGUAGCGGUGAAAUGCGUAGGUAUAGGAAGGAACAUCAGUGGCGAAGGCGACCACCUGGGCUAAUACUGACACUGAGGUGCGAAAGCGUGGGGAGAAAAC
rnacentral:rRNA from 1 species